rnacentral:tRNA from 2 species
GCCAACAUAGCUCAGUUGGUAGAGCAACGCUUUCGUAAAGCGUGGGUCCUCGGUUCAAAUCCGAGUGUUGGCUCCA